rnacentral:rRNA from 1 species
CAGCGCCGCGGUAAUACAGAGGGUGCAAGCGUUAAUCGGAAUUACUGGGCGUAAAGCGCGCGUAGGUGGUUUGUUAAGUUGGAUGUGAAAUCCCCGGGCUCAACCUGGGAACUGCAUCCAAAACUGGAAAGCUAGAGUAUGGUAGAGGGUGGUGGAAUUUCCUGUGUAGCGGUGAAAUGCGUAGAUAUAGGAAGGAACACCAGUGGCGAAGGCGACCACCUGGACUGAUACUGACACUGAGGUGCGAAAGCGUGGGGAGCAAACAGGAUUAGAUACCCCGGUAGUCCCUGUCUCUUAUACA